CCUACGGGAGGCAGCAGUGGGGAAUCUUCCACAAUGGACGAAAGCCUGAUGGAGCAAAGCCGCGUGAGUGAAGAAGGCGUUCGGGUGGUAAAGCUCUGUAGUCAGGAGGAAAGAGUACGGGCUAACCCCCGGAAAGACGGUACUUCAGAAAAGCAUGCUAUUCG
rnacentral:rRNA from 1 species